GCCCUACGGGGCGCAGCAGGCGCGAAACCUCUGCAAUGCGGGAAACCGUGACAGGGGGAUCCCAAGUGCUCAUGCAUUGCAUGGGCUGUUCUUUGGUCUAAGUAACCAGAGGAGUAAGGGCUGGGCAAGACCGGUGCCAGCCGCCGCGGUAAUACCGGCAGCUCAAGUGGUAGCCGCGAUUAUUGGGCCUAAAACGUUCGUAGCCGGAUAAGUAAGUCUUUGGUUAAAUCCUGCGACUCAACCGUGGGAAUUCUAGAGAUACUGCUCGUCUGAGA
rnacentral:rRNA from 1 species